UGGGGAAUCUUGGACAAUGGGGGCAACCCUGAUCCAGCCAUGCCGCGUGAGUGAUGAAGGCCUUAGGGUCGUAAAGCUCUUUCGCCUGUGAAGAUAAUGACGGUAGCAGGUAAAGAAACCCCGGCUAACUCCGUGCCAGCAGCCGCGGUAAUACGGAGGGGGUUAGCGUUGUUCGGAAUUACUGGGCGUAAAGCGCACGUAGGCGGACCAGAAAGUUGGGGGUGAAAUCCCGGGGCUCAACCCCGGAACUGCCUCCAAAACUAUUGGUCUAGAGUUCGAGAGAGGUGAGUGGAAUUCCAAGUGUAGAGGUGAAAUUCGUAGAUAUUUGGAGGAACACCAGUGGCGAAGGCGGCUCACUGGCUCGAUACUGACGCUGAGGUGCGAAAGUGUGGGGAGCAAAACAGGAUUAGAUACCCUGGUAGUCCACACCGUAAAACGAUGAAUGCCAGUCGUCGGGUAGCAUGCUAUUCGGUGACACACCUAACGGAUUAAGCAUUCCGCCUGGGGAGUACGGUCGCAAGAUUAAAACUCAAAUGAAUUG
rnacentral:rRNA from 1 species